rnacentral:misc_RNA from 1 species
GAAAUGCGAUAAGUAAUGUGAAUUGCAGAAUUCAGUGAAUCAUCGAAUCUUUGAACGCACAUUGCGCCCGCCAGUAUUCUGGCGGGCAUGCCUGUUCGAGCGUCAUUUCAACCAUCAAGCCCCCGGGCUUGUGUUGGGGACCUGCGGCUGCCGCAGGCCCCGAAAACCAGUGGCGGGCUCGCUGUCACACCGGGCGUAGUAGAUUUUUCGUCUCGCCCAGGGCGUGCUGCGGAUUCCGGCCGUUAAAAAGCCUCUCUUUUAACCCAAGGUUGACCUCGGAUCAGGUAGGAAGACCCGCUGAACUUAAGC